rnacentral:rRNA from 1 species
GCUUACACAUGCAGUCGAGCGGAGACUUCGGUCUUAGCGGCGAACGGGUGAGGAAUGCCUGGGAAUCUGCCUGUUAGUGGGGGAUAACGAAUCGAAAGGUUCGCUAAUACCGCAUACGUCCUACGGGAGAAAGCAGGGGACCUUCGGGCCUUGCGCUAACAGAUGAGCCCAGGUCGGAUUAGCUAGUAGGUGGGGUAAAGGCUCACCUAGGCGACGAUCCGUAGCUGGUCUGAGAGGAUGAUCAGCCACACUGGAACUGAGACACGGUCCAGACUCCUACGGGAGGCAGCAGUGGGGAAUAUUGGACAAUGGGGGAAACCCUGAUCCAGCCAUGCCGCGUGUGUGAAGAAGGCCUUCGGGUUGUAAAGCACUUUAAGCGGGGAGGAAGGCCUUGAGACUAAUACUCUUGAGGAUUGACGUUACCCGCAGAAUAAGCACCGGCUAACUCUGUGCCAGCAGCCGCGGUAAUACAGAGGGUGCAAGCGUUAAUCGGAAUUACUGGGCGUAAAGCGCGCGUAGGCGGUUUGUUAGGUUGGAUGUGAAAUCCCCGGGAUCAUCCUGGGCACGGCAUCCGGUACUGGCAGACUAGAGUGUGGGGGAGGGAGGUAGAAUUCCAGGUGUAGCGGUGAAAUGCGUAGAGAUCUGGAGGAAUACCGAUGGCGAAGGCAGCCUUCUGGCCUAACACUGACGCUGAGGUGCGAAAGCAUG